rnacentral:rRNA from 1 species
UCCCCUAGUAACGGCGAGUGAAGAGGGAAAAGCUCAAAUUUAAAAUCUGGCGGUCUACGGCCGUCCGAGUUGUAAUCUAGAGAAGUGUUUUCCGCGCUGGACCGUGUACAAGUCCUUUGGAACAAGGCGUCAUAGAGGGUGAGAAUCCCGUCUACGACACGGACUGCCRAGCGCUUUGUGAUACACUCUCAACGAGUCGAGUUGUUUGGGAAUGCAGCUCAAAAUGGGUGGUAAAUUCCAUCUAAAGCUAAAUAUUGGCGAARGACCGAUAGCGAACAAGUACCGUGAGGGAAAGAUGAAAAGCACUUUGGAAAGAGAGUUAAACAGUACGUGAAAUUGUUGARAGGGAAACGCUUGAAGUCRGUCGCGUCUUCARAAAUUCRGCUGGGCUUCUGCCUAGUGUACUUUUCUGUGGGACGGGCCAGCAUCAGUUUUGGCUGCCAGAARAAGGUCGGAGGAAGGUGGCACCUCCCGGUGUGUUAUAGCCUCUGAUCRUAUGUGGCAGSCGGGAUUGAGGACCGCAKCACGCCUUUAUGGCCGGGGUUCGCCCACGUAACGUGCUURKGAUGCUGGCGUAAUGGCUUUAAACGACCCGUCUUGAAACACGGACCAAGGAGUCUAACAUGCCUGCGAGUAUUUGGGUGGCAAACCCRUAUGCSGAAUGAAWGUGAACMGUUGGGACUUCUGUCAUGGAAGG